rnacentral:rRNA from 1 species
AGAGUUUGAUCCUGGCUCAGGAUGAACGCUGGCGGCGUGCCUAACACAUGCAAGUCGAGCGAUUCUCUUCGGAGAAGAGCGGCGGACGGGUGAGUAACGCGUGGGUAACCUGCCUCAUACACAUGGAUAACAUACCGAAAGGUAUGCUAAUACAGGAUAACAUAAGAGAUUCGCAUGUUUCUCUUAUCAAAGCUCCGGCGGUAUGAGAUGGACCCGCGUCUGAUUAGCUAGUUGGUAAGGUAAUGGCUUACCAAGGCGACGAUCAGUAGCCGACCUGAGAGGGUGAUCGGCCACAUUGGAACUGAGACACGGUCCAAACUCCUACGGGAGGCAGCAGUGGGGAAUAUUGCACAAUGGGCGAAAGCCUGAUGCAGCAACGCCGCGUGAGUGAUGAAGGCCUUCGGGUCGUAAAACUCUGUCCUCAAGGAAGAUAAUGACGGUACUUGAGGAGGAAGCCCCGGCUAACUACGUGCCAGCAGCCGCGGUAAUACGUAGGGGGCUAGCGUUAUCCGGAUUUACUGGGCGUAAAGGGUGCGUAGGUGGUUUCUUAAGUCAGGAGUGAAAGGCUACGGCUUAACCGUAGUAAGCUCUUGAAACUGGGAAACUUGAGUGCAGGAGAGGAAAGUGGAAUUCCUAGUGUAGCGGUGAAAUGCGUAGAUAUUAGGAGGAACACCAGUAGCGAAGGCGGCUUUCUGGACUGUAACUGACACUGAGGCACGAAAGCGUGGGGAGCAAACAGGAUUAGAUACCCUGGUAGUCCACGCCGUAAACG